AACGAACGCUGGCGGCAGGCUUAACACAUGCAAGUCGAGCGAGAUCUUCGGGUCUAGCGGCGGACGGGUGAGUAACGCGUGGGAACGUGCCCUUCUCUACGGAAUAGCCCCGGGAAACUGGGAGUAAUACCGUAUACGCCCUUUGGGGGAAAGAUUUAUCGGAGAAGGAUCGGCCCGCGUUGGAUUAGGUAGUUGGUGGGGUGAUGGCCCACCAAGCCGACGAUCCAUAGCUGGUUUGAGAGGAUGAUCAGCCACACUGGGACUGAGACACGGCCCAGACUCCUACGGGAGGCAGCAGUGGGGAAUCUUAGACAAUGGGGGCAACCCUGAUCUAGCCAUGCCGCGUGAGUGAUGAAGGCCUUAGGGCUGUAAAGCUCUUUCAGCUGGGAAGAUAAUGACGGUACCAGCAGAAGAAGCCCCGGCUAACUCCGUGCCAGCCGCCGCCGUAA
rnacentral:rRNA from 1 species